AACAGGUGGAGCAGAACCCACUUAAAAAAACGAGGCGAAACCUGAAAAGCCUUAAGAGUAAGGAAAAUA
rfam:Flavobacteriaceae bacterium CRH Contig01, whole genome shotgun sequence.